UCAGCCUUCACGUCUAAACCCCAAAACCUCUCUGUUUUCUAAUAUACGCCAAAACUCAAUCCUCCCGCCGCCGCUGCCGCCAUGGAUCACCGCCACUACAUCGAUUUCUCUUUGCCUCUCCAUCAUCGCUCAAUCUAGCCCAUCAUGUUUUAUUUUGAGGUUCCAGGGAUGAAGGAGAUCAAAAUUUCAAAGGCCAAUUUGAUGUAAGCUGUGGCUUUUGUGAUGGGUGGAAUUCAAGAAGCCUGCAAUGAUAUUUAAAUCUUUCAACGGUAUCAUAUACAUAAUACCAAGUUUUGUAUUUUUAUAUUCCCAGUAUGUGAUAUAUUGUUUUAACCAAUCCAGUUGAUUGUAUUUUUAUACUCCCAGUAUUUGAUAAUUGUUUUAACCAA